CCUCUUUGCCUUCCCGGUUUAAGUCUUACUUUUGUAAGAAAACCCCUCCUUCUGAAUGACAGCACCCCAUGAUGAUUGCAAAGCAUGGUGUUUAUUUUUCUUUCUUAAGGCCGAUCCAAUUUUUGAACUUCAUGAAUAUAUUUAAAAGUGGUAUACUUUGAUUCUUUAAAGCCUUUCCCUUGAGGCCAUAAACUCCAUCAAGGCAUCGUCCUUUGUCUGUUGUGUUCACCAGUGUGAACUUAGCACCUGGUGGAUACAGUAAGCACAGUAAAAAUUUGUCCGUGAGGAGUUACCGUCGUGGCGCAGUGGAAACGAAUCCAACUAGGAACCAUGAGGUUGUGGGUUCGAUCCCUGGCCUCGCUCAGUCGGUUAAGGAUCUGGAGUUGUCAUGAGCUGUGGUAUAGGUCACAGACUCGGCUCAGAUCCUGCGUUGCUGUGGCUGUGCUGUAGGCCAGAAGCUGUAGCUCCAAUUUGACCCCUAGCCUGGGAACCUCCAUAUACCAUGAGUGUGGCCCUUACACCUCCGUUUGGAAAAAUAAGCAUUCAGUUUGCCGGUGGUCUAGUGGUUAGGAUUUGGUGGAAGUCACGACUGUGACCCAGAUUCGAUCUCUGAUUUGGGAACUAAGAUUCCCCAUUAAGACACUACAGGCUGCAGCCAAAAAAAAAUAAAUAAAUAAAUAAAAGGAAAGCCCCUCGUCAAGUGAAAAGUCAUGGUCAAUUGUAAGAGUAACAGACACCUCCUUUCUUCCUUCUCUCUUAUUUUUUUCUCUCCAUUUUUUUAAUUCUUCAUUUUAAGGUCUGCCGGUCACGUUUUGCAAAUUGCAAAUCUAAGACGCGGUAUUAUUUGUUCGUGCCUUUUUUUAAGACGAGAUCACACUUUUCUCUUGAAAAUAGGGCUGCCCACACGGUGCGACCACCGGGAUUCCCAUUUUUUUAUUGCGCGUGUGCUCAUGAUGUUGAAAGGAAAUCGUGGCCAGCACUGGAAGGUCAUUUAUUUGAGAAGCAAACGAGACUCUGGCAUCGCACUUGAAUGCCAUGUUUCUUGUCAUCCUCAAAGCCACUCGUGUACAUCCCUAUACCUCAAGUGGGCUCCUCAGGAAUACACAAGUCAAAAGGCCUUGGUAAUAUUGACCGAGGAGAAGUUGUUCCUGGCCCUCCCUUAC
rnacentral:lncRNA from 1 species